rnacentral:tRNA from 1 species
GUAAAUAUAGUUUUAAGAAAAACAUUAGAUUGUGAAUCUAAUAAUAGAAGCCCGCUAUCUUCUUAUUUACC